GUACUUUGAUAAUCCUUUAUUAGUCUCACAGUGGGGAAAUUGUUGUGUGUUGCAGCAACAGAAAUUAACACAGGCAUGAUAUAGACAAGACAAAAUAUGAAAUAAAACAACAUUUAAGAAUAUGUAAACAUGUCAAAACAAAAAUGAACUGUAUAAACAGGAAUAUGUACACAAUAAUAGAUUGAAUUUAAGUACAGAUUUCUCACUGUUUGAUAUAGCAAAAUACCAAAAGGAAACAAUGAAAAAAUGGUCAAAAAAUGUCAUAGUAUAGGAAGGCAUCAAAAAAUGUUAUAGGUGUCAAAAAAUGUCAUAGUAUAGUAAGGCAUCAAAAAACUUCAAAAAAUGUCAUAGUAUAGUAAGGCGUCAAAAUUGGUCAAAAAAUGUCACAGUAUAGUAAGGCUUGAAAAAUGGUCAAAAAAUGUCAUAGUAUAGUAAGGCUUGAAAAAUGGUCAAAAAAUGUCAUAGUAUAGUAAGGCUUGAAAAAUGGUCAAAAAAUGUCAUAGUAUAGUAAGGUGUCAAAAUUGGUCAAAAAAUGUCAUAGUAUAGUAAGGCAACAAAAUUGGUCAAAAAAUGUCAUAGUAUAGUAAGGCUUGAAAAAUGGUCAAAAAAUGUCAUAGUAUAGUAAGGCUUGAAAAAUGGUCAAAAAAUUUCAUAGUAUAGUAAGGCGUCAAAAAUGGUCAAAAAAUGUCAUAGUAUAGUAAGGUGUCAAAAUUUGUCAAAAAAUGUCAUAGUAUAGUAAGGCAUGAAAAAACUUCAAAAAAUGUCAUAGUAUAGUAAGGCUUGAAAAAUGGUCAAAAAAUGUCAUAGUAUAGUAAGGUGUCAAAAUUGGUCAAAAAAUGUCAUAGUAUAUUAAGGCAUGAAAAAACUUCAAAAAAUGUCAUAGUAUAGUAAGGUGUCAAAAAACUUCAAAAAAUGUCAUAAUAUUGUAAAGUCGUCAAAAAUGGUCAAAAAAUGUCAUAAUAUUGUAAAGGUGUCAAAAACGAUCAAAAAAUGUCAUAGUACAGUAUGGCGUCAAAAACUGUCAAAAAUGGUCAAAAAUGUCAUAGUAUAGUAAGGUGUCAAAAAAUGUCCAAAAAUGUCAUAAUAUAGUAAGGUAUCAAAAAAUGUAAAAAAAUAAAAAUAAAAAAAAAAAAGUCAUAGUAUAGUAAGGUGUCAAAAAUGGUCUAAAAACAUCAAAAAAUGUCAAAAAAAAUGUCAUAGUAUUAAAUAACAAUAAAUUUGUGCAGGCCUUUAAGCUCAGGACAGUUUUUGUUAUUAACGUCUUUUGUCUCUGCAGGAGAAGACGACAGCAGCUGAA